rnacentral:rRNA from 1 species
GACGAACGCUGGCGGCGUGCUUAACACAUGCCAGUCGAACGCUGAAGGCCUGGCUUUUGUUGGGUUGGAUGAGUGGCGAACGGGUGAGUAACACGUGAGUAACCUGCCCUCUUCUUUGGGAUAACGCCCGGAAACGGGUGCUAAUACUGGAUAUUCACUGAUCUUCGCAUGGGGGUUGGUGGAAAGGUUUGUUCUGGUGGGGGAUGGGCUCGCGGCCUAUCAGCUUGUUGGUGGGGUGAUGGCCUACCAAGGCUUUGACGGGUAGCCGGCCUGAGAGGGUGACCGGUCACAUUGGGACUGAGAUACGGCCCAGACUCCUACGGGAGGCAGCAGUGGGGAAUAUUGCACAAUGGGCGAAAGCCUGAUGCAGCGACGCCGCGUGAGGGAUGGAGGCCUUCGGGGUGUAAACCUCUUUCGCUCAUGGUCAAGCCGCAACUGUGGGUUGUGGUGAGGGUAGUGGGUAAAGAAGCGCCGGCUAACUACGUG